AUUGAACGCUGGUGGCAGGCCUAACACAUGCAAGUCGAGCGGAUGAAGGGAGCUUGCUCCUGGAUUCAGCGGCGGACGGGUGAGUAAUGCCUAGGAAUCUGCCUGGUAGUGGGGGAUAACGUCCGGAAACGGGCGCUAAUACCGCAUACGUCCUGAGGGAGAAAGUGGGGGAUCUUCGGACCUCACGCUAUCAGAUGAGCCUAGGUCGGAUUAGCUAGUUGGUGGGGUAAAGGCCUACCAAGGCGACGAUCCGUAACUGGUCUGAGAGGAUGAUCAGUCACACUGGAACUGAGACACGGUCCAGACUCCUACGGGAGGCAGCAGUGGGGAAUAUUGGACAAUGGGCGAAAGCCUGAUCCAGCCAUGCCGCGUGUGUGAAGAAGGUCUUCGGAUUGUAAAGCACUUUAAGUUGGGAAGAAGGGCAGUAAGUUAAUACCUUGCUGUUUUGACGUUACCAACAGAAUAAGCACCGGCUAACUUCGUG
rnacentral:rRNA from 1 species